UAAUAAAAGUUAAGGCCCAAACUUUAAAAAUCCGUAUCCCUAUUUGUCAAUUCUAGCUUCCAAAAACAACAGUUUCCAAAAAGAAAAAAAAACACUUUCCUCUGUUGUCCGUUCAUCUACUAGAUCCUCCAUGAAAGAAUCACCCUUAGUCCGGUUCCCUUAAACUUCUCUUCUCCAAUACCCUUCGGACAAACUCAAGCAACCCUCUUUCAAGGCACGAGCUUCCGCUGCAAAGAGUGUUGGAACCCUUCUAUGUAUUACUACUUUUGAGGCCAGAACUUCACCUAGAGCAUUCUUAGCCAUCACCCCUGAUCCCGACCUAGCUUGGUUCAAAUCAAAUGCUGCAUCGAAGUUAAUCUUCACAUGUGCACCGAUUGGGGUCUUCCAUCUCAUCGGAGCAUUAGAUCUAAUUGCCCACAUGCCAUAAUAGAACACCCUGCACUACUCCUUGGUACUAUUUUUGGAAAUCUAGGUAAACUAUUCCCAAUAAUGCUGAAUCAGAUUUUGUACAAUCCAGGAGAGAUUUAUACCUUUGUUGUUGUAGGACAUUCUCUGAAGAUAUGAUCAAUUGAUUUCAUAGCUUCACGACACCUAGGACACACAAUAUCUGUUGCUACUCUUUUUUUAUUCAGAUUGAGUAAAGUAGGAAUAAAAUUCCAUGAUAUGCGCCAAACUGUAAUUUUAAUUUUUAAGGGGAUUUGUAAAUUCCAUAGUCUUUUGUAGAGUUCUCUAACGCUCUGUUGUGUAUAAUCAUCAUUAGGAAAUAAUGUACCUUCUUGUAAUAGUUUAUAAAUUGUAAUAACCCGUUUUUAGUGAAAUCGGAACAGUAGUUUCGGCACCACAAA